rnacentral:rRNA from 2 species
UCUACGGGAGGCAGCAGUGGGGAAUAUUGCACAAUGGGCGCAAGCCUGAUGCAGCCAUGCCGCGUGUGUGAAGAAGGCCUUCGGGUUGUAAAGCACUUUCAGCGGGGAGGAAGGCGGUAAGGUUAAUAACCUUGCCGAUUGACGUUACCCGCAGAAGAAGCACCGGCUAACUCCGUGCCAGCAGCCGCGGUAAUA